rnacentral:rRNA from 1 species
UACGUAGGGGGCAAGCGUUGUCCGGAUUUAUUGGGCGUAAAGAGCGUGUAGGCGGCCAGACAGGUCUGCUGUGAAAACUCGAGGCUCAACCUCGAGACGCCGGUGGAAACCGUCUGGCUAGAGUCCGGAAGAGGAGAGUGGAAUUCCUGGUGUAGCGGUGAAAUGCGCAGAUAUCAGGAGGAACACCGGUGGCGAAGGCGGGUCUCUGGGCAUUACCUGACGCUGAGGAGCGAAAGUGUGGGGAGCGAACAGG